rnacentral:rRNA from 1 species
GACAGAGGUGCCGAGCGUUAGGCGGAAUCACUGGGCUUAAAGCGUGUGUAGGCGGAUUUUUAAGUACCUUGUGAAAUCCCACGGCUUAACCGUGGAACUGCUGGGUAUACUGGAUAUCUUGAGCCAACUAGGGGCUACCGGAACAAAUGGUGGAGCGGUGAAAUGCGUAGAUAUCGCUUGGAACGCCGAAGGUGAAAACAGGUUGCUGGGGAUGUGCCGACGCUGAGACACGAAAGCCAGGGGAGCAAACGGG